UUCCUCCCCCCCUCGCUCCCAUCAUCCCUUCCUCAGCAAAUAAAUACAGUCCAAAACGAGGCACAAAUCUGGACCACCGAUUUCUCUUUGCGGAUUUGUUAAGCAAAUCCCUUCAGCUGUUCAGGGAAUUAUGCGGAGAUUAAACAAAACUGGUUAUCUUCUUUGACACCCUGCCAAAGGCCUUACUUGGCAAAGCCCCACGAAGUUCAGAAACAAACAAGAGAUGCCGACUGGAAACAAGAGUUAGCAACGUUGCUUUCCUGCAGAGAGCCCACGUGCCUUUGCUCCUCUUUUAAGCCUUAUGGGAGGGGCCAAUCAUCUCCAGGCCUUACUCCCGAGUUGUCCCUUUUGCUUUAGCUGCUCUUGCCUUCUGGCAGCUGUGCGCAUGCUGCUGAAAGGAUCGUGCUUGUGGAGCUGUGCUUUCUGUAGGAUGUUUUCUGCCGUCCCUUCCCUGUGGAACAUAGUCCUUUCAGAAGUUCCAAGAAGGCUCCACACUCAUCUGCACUACUCAGAUGACCCGGAGAACACAGACAAACCAAGAAGUUUCCUAUCAAUGAGAAUAACGAAUCAGUGGAACACCUUCAGAAGAAGGAUUCAUUGGGCUUUCAGUACACCACAGCAAGAACGGUUGGACUUCAAAUGCUACAGGGGAUUAUGGGAAUUUAAAUUCCUCACACCAGGAAGGCAACGAAUGGCGCAUUUGGCUGGGAGCUUAUCUCAAGCUGAGAGCAUCUGACUGUUUCCUUAAUGAGAAUCUGAUGUGGAAAGAACAUCAAGGAAUCUUAGCUGGCUUUCACAAGCACCACGUUUAAACACAACGGAAGAGGAGGAAUAUAAUAAUGCAAUGACCACAUUUCCACAGGAGGAAUGCAAUCUGGUCUGGAUGUUAUCGACGGAACACCGGAAGAUCCCAAGGA